GUGCUUACUUCAGCAGCACAUAUACUAAAACUAGAACAAUACAGAAAUCAGCAUGGCCCCUGUGUAAGGAUGACACGUAAAAUACUGAAUAUUACAAAUGAAUG